rnacentral:rRNA from 1 species
AUGAACGUUGGCGGCGUGGAUUAGGCAUGCAAGUCGAGCGAGAACCCCGCAAGGGGGGACAGCGGCGAAAGGGACAGUAAUGUGUAGAUUAUCUGCCCUCAGGUCCGGGAUAGCUGCGGGAAACUGCAGGUAAUACCGGAUAACAUCUCCGGAUCAAAGGUGUGAUUCCGCCUGAGGAUGAGUCUGCAUCCUAUUAGCUAGUUGGUGGGGUAAUGGCCUACCAAGGCAUUGAUGGGUAGCAGGUGUGAGAGCACGACCUGCGUCAUUGGGACUGAGACACUGCCCAGACACCUACGGGUGGCUGCAGUCGAGAAUCGUCGGCAAUGGGCGCAAGCCUGACCGAGCGACGCCGCGUGUGGGAUGAAGGCCUUCGGGUUGUAAACCACUGUCAGAGGGGAUGAAAUGCAGGUGGGUUCUCCCAUCUGUUUGACAUAGCCUCAGAGGAAGGACGGGCUAAGUUCGUG